rnacentral:rRNA from 1 species
UACAGAGGGGGCAAGCGUUGUUCGGAAUUACUGGGCGUAAAGGGCGCGUAGGCGGCCCGCUAAGUCGAACGUGAAAUCCCUGGGCUCAACCCAGGAACUGCGUCCGAUACUGGCAGGCUUGAAUCCGGGAGAGGGAUGCGGAAUUCCAGGUGUAGCGGUGAAAUGCGUAGGUAUCUGGAGGAACACCGGUGGCGAAGGCGGCAUCCUGGACCGGCAUUGACGCUGAGGCGCGAAAGCCAGGGGGGCAAACGGG